rnacentral:rRNA from 1 species
UACGGAGGGUGCAAGCGUUAUCCGGAAUCACUGGGUUUAAAGGGUGCGUAGGCGGCCUAGUAAGUCAGUUGUGAAAUUCCCCGGCUUAACCGGCGGGACUGCGAUUGAUACUGCUGGGCUUGAAUCAGGUUGAGGUAGGCGGAAUGUGGCAUGUAGCGGUGAAAUGCUUAGAUAUGCCAUAGAACACCGAUUGCGAAGGCAGCUUGCUGGGCUUCGAUUGACGCUGAGGCACGAAAGCGUGGGGAGCAAACAGG